GGAAUGACCUCCAAAUCCUCAGCCUCUUGUUUAUGAGAUUAAGAAAAAAAAAAAGAAGAAGAAAAGAAAGAAAAACUCCAAAAGGAGGACAUGUUGUCUUUUCAGAUGAGGACCAAAAUGGUACCAGAGUCAUCAAGCUGUAGAGGAUCAGGGGUCACUGUGAGGAAUCCCGUCUCCACUACUGGACUCAAAGUUUUCUCCCCACAUGCGAGCAGAGCUGCGCAAACAGAUCUCCCUUCAAGCUGAUUACAAAUAAAAUUGCUCUGCGAACAAAAAAAAAAAUUGUUCUCACACUCUUUGCAGAAGAUUCAUGCGUUUUCUUAUUUUAGAAAAUAAGCUAAAAGGUGUACAAAUGUGUGAAAUGAAUUUAAUUGCAAUGCCAUUUUAGUUUUUGUUUAUUUAUUUAAAUAUAAAUUUGUCCCGGAAAGCUAUUAGUAAAAUCAUAUUGUAUUCAGGUCUGUGUAUUUCAUCAUUUUUAAUGACUUGUUCAUAAAUUAACGCAAUAAACGUGUAAUGUAAACUUUCUUCACGUUAUAAUGUCGAUAGUGUAUUAAUACAUCUUUUUUAAGUUACCUUUUAAACUGGAUCUCAGCAAAGUGACUGAAACCUAUUUAUUUAAUAAAAAUGUAAUUAAAAACA